rnacentral:lncRNA from 1 species
CUUAACUAUUGCUUUUUGAAGUUGGUUCUAUUUUGUAGACAUCCACCUUCAAUUCAUUGCAUAUCAAGGCAUGUGCUUUCUAGGGUAGAAGUCCCUUCUUGCUCUCUCUCAUCUUCAGGCUCUUUAGUAACUUUUCUAGAGAUCNNNNGGCUACUGAGCACACAUUGUGUGUAACAGUACCAGAUAUUACCUUUUCUUUUAGCUAACCCAAAGGCACAAUUUUUAAAAAUAAAGAAAAAAAUAACAGUUUAAUUGCCUUAGUGACUUUCAG